AACGAACGCUGGCGGCGUGCUUAACACAUGCAAGUCGAACGCGAAAGGGACUUCGGUCCUGAGUAAAGUGGCGCACGGGUGAGUAACGCGUAGAUAACCUGUCUUCAUGUCUGGAAUAAUACGCCGAAAGGGGUACUAAUACCGGAUAUUCUUGCUUUUCAUAAGUUAUGCAAGCAAAGGUGGCCUCUGCAUAUGCUACUGCAUGAAGAGGGGUCUGCGUACCAUUAGCUAGUAGGUGGGGUAAUGGCCUACCUAGGCGACGAUGGUUAGCGGGUCUGAGAGGAUGAUCCGCCACACUGGCACUGGAACACGGGCCAGACUCCUACGGGAGGCAGCAGUGAGGAAUAUUGCGCAAUGGGGGAAACCCUGACGCAGCGACGCCGCGUGAGUGAGGAAAGGCCUUCGGGUCGUAAAGCUCUGUCAAGAGGAAAGAAGUGCACAAUGGCUAAUACCUGUUGUAUUUGACGGUACCUCUAAAGGAAGCACCGGCUGACUCCGUGCCAGCCGCCGC
rnacentral:rRNA from 1 species